AGAUUGAACGCUGGCGGCAUGCCUAACACAUGCAAGUCGAACGGGAGUAGCAAUACUCUAGUGGCGGACGGGUGAGGAAUACGUAGGAAUUUGCCCUUAAGUGGGGGAUAACCCGGGGAAACCCGGAUUAAUACCGCAUGACCUCGAAAGAGCAAAGUGGGGGAUCGCAAGACCUCACGUCUUUUGGAGAAGCCUACGUCGGAUUAGCUAGUUGGUGAGGUAAUGGCUCACCAAGGCGACGAUCCCGUAACUGGUCUGAGAGGAUGAUCAGUCA
rnacentral:rRNA from 1 species